CAGCAGGCGUUCCCCAUUUGCACGCCCGCCUGCCCUAUAUGAAUUGAUAUGCAUUCUCGCUGUGAACAAACAAAUAAAUAGGUUGACACGCUGUAACCAUAGCAGCUUAAUCGAACAUCAAGACUGCAUGCCUGCAUGUGACACGAUUGCGCGAUGAAGAUGAUCCCACGAUUAUUCCCUCCAUUAACAAGAAACUCCGGAAACUCGGGAAAUGAAUGGAUAGAGUCAGCGUAUUCCGAGUAACGGACAGCAGCGGAAGAGAUAAAACAGAAAGUAAGACAUCCGUCGGAAAAGCCGGGGAAAAACAUGAAGGACGGCGCGGAGAAAGGAGAGGGAGAUUCCUGGAGAGCACGAGAUGUGCCGCGAUCGGUGAGCAAGAGAUUGCCCAAGAGUCUCUAAGAUUCGCGAUGUCUCAGUGCAAGAAUUAGUUCCAUGUAAUUUAAAAGAAUGCACCAGCAGUUCACGGGAGAGACCUGUCUCGUGGUGUUUCGAAAGUUACGUAGCCAGACACAAGAGCGUGUAUGCCUGCUCAAGAGAAAGUUCCUGGCAACGGUGAAUCCGCUCUCUAUCCUUUUACCGCGUGUAAAAGAAUCCAAAGUGGAUCGACAUCGUCGUCAGAAUUGUGAAGAAUCCCUUUAACGUUUAGCAGUCUAACUGUGAACUUCGUUCACACCUCAGUUGACUAGAUUAAACCGAUUUAACGGUUUAAAAGUCUGCCUUGCGUUUUUCUAGAAUCUAUUUAUAGAAAGACAAGAAAAACGGCAAGAGUUUUCUGGAAAGCGAGCAUUCGGAGACUACAAAUAAUCUGAAAACAAGAAUAUUUCAAUAUUAGAACUGCUCAUUACGUUUCACUUUGCAUUGACAAUCAGUGGAAUCUUGUUCUAAAUUACUCGCUUGAUGUUGACAUCAUUGACAUUGCUUUGAAAAAAAGGCACAAAAACCUUGAUGACGGGAAAAAGUGGAGUCUAACGAUACCUUGGUAUCAUCGAAACGAGGAUUCCAUCGUGAGUAAGCAUACGGAUUAUUUCUGCGUGUUUGUGUCUCUGAAGAAUUCCUGCAAAAUUACUCAAUAGUUGCGAUUUCCGGUGAAAACGUCUUCAUGAGGCUGAUAUUUCGCAUGGAAAUAGCUUUUCCUGUUGCGACGACGUGCAUCAUGGACCUGUGACCGACGUCGAUGCACUUGCCUUCUCUCAACGGCAUGUUACGCGCCGUCGCUGCCGGCCAAUCGUGUCCGUGAGGCAACAGGUGGCCGACCAAUCCUGCACAAGACCGCUGAUCUCGUCUAGAACACGAGGCAUUUUACUCCUUCGGAUAUUCCUACCGAAUCCAGCGACAGCUGUUCCCGUCUGCCUUCUCUUUCGCACUUUCGUCUCUAACAACGAACGUGUUUUUUCAUCACAUCGAUUUUAUGCGAAUGGCGCCGUUCUUCGAGGCUAAUGACACAUGUCGCUCACCUCGUGAAAAGAGAACCAACAAAAAUGAAUGUGAGCGGAAUUGUCUAUCUUAUUCAACACCAAGGCCGCAAUCACAAUUAGGAGGGAACCCCGCAUCAAAGACAUGUAUGUAUGUAUUGUAGCGCAUUGAACACAUUAUUAGUGUCCACAUUUACAAAGAUUCUCCACCGAUCCUCUUUUUUUUGCAAUUACGAAAUCACACAUUCAGUCAUGUAAAUGAAGAAUUAUGCUUCUUAAAUUUUGCAAAGAAAUUUGACUGAUUGGUGUGAGUGUUUCAUCAUUAUUAUGCAUCUCGUACCCAUGAUCAUUUCGAGUGACGGCUCUCCCGCACGGCCAGGUGCACGCGCCAUUUUUCCCGUUCAACCGCUUUUCGAUUCACGUGUUAAUGAUUAUCAAGGAUUAAAAGGUGGCAUUUGCCGCCGCGUGAUUUCAAAAACCCGCGACGAAACGCACGCCGAGCAUGCAAUUCGUUUCACGUGUUCGUCACAUGGAUCCGCCAUGAGUGAGGCAAGCGUUGCGUGCUGCUCCAGGUGGACGUGGCCGUCGCUUGCAAAAGUGCGAGCGGGGUUACUUCGUGGAACGGCGUGCGAGUGGAGCGUCUGCGCACCUGGCGCAGCCGCUUCGACCUGUCUUUCUCCAAUCUGGCCGCGUUGCGAUUUUCAUCACUCCGCUAGAUCGUGGGUCAACCGAGGUAGCAAGAAAAUAACAUUUUUCUGCCCUGUGCACAAAAAUCUGCAUCUUUUUAUCCUCCCUUCGGAGCGGCUCUUUCCUUCAUUUCUUCCUUUCUCCAUCUUCUCUUUUCGCUCGUUCUGUUGAUCUCUCUCCUGUAUUUCCCCUCUCCUUUCUCUCAGCAGGCAGGCAGGCAGGCAGGUAAGCAGGCAAGCAAGCAAGCGAGCAAGCGAGCAAGUAAGCAAGCAAGCAAGCGAGCGAGCAAGCAUGCAGGUACUCGACACUGCCCCCUUCCUCUCUGCAUGUGUCUUACCCAGGUAGCCUGAUUCCAAUUUCAGCCGCAUUUUUUCGAACGACACUCGUAACAUUUCGGCAGGUCAAAACUCAUCGGAAGUAAAUAACGAGUUAUCUUUAGGUCAAUGUAUCAAAACUCUUCUGUUGCCUGUAAAUUUAACUCUUCAAUAUUUAUUAUCCCUAUGCGCACUUAUUUAGUUUUUGCUUGAUUAAUGCAAAUUCUUAUUUUUCUAGUAAAUAUUAAUUUGUUUAGAUAAGAAUCUUUUCACAGCAACAGGUAUUUUAUUCUCUCUUUCUCUCUCUUCUUCUUUCUAUUUCUUCAUUUCAUCCCUAUGAAUAUUUAAUAUCUAUACGUCCAUUUGCUCCAGCUCGUUAUUAGUGCGAAUCGAAGUCCAUUAGAUAUUUAUCUAUUUUUACUUAUUGUGUGUGUCCUACGAGAACCGUUUCACAGCAACGCAACAAGUGUUUUCUCCUCUUUCUCUCUCUCUCUCUCUCUUUUCCUUCCUUCCUUCCUUCCUUGUCUGCUUGUCUUUCUCAUUUAACACCUGAAUAUUUGAUUCACGCACACUGGUCUAUAACUCGUCAUUAGUGCGAGUUGAAAUUCCACGAGAUAUUAAUUUGUUUUUGCUAUUUGCUCAAGGAACAAGAACCUUCCUACUGCACGCAAUAAAUAUUUCCUUCUCUCUCUCUUUCUCCCUCCUCCUGCCGUAAGAUGCCAGGCGAGCAAGGGUUCCAGCCAACGAGAGAGGGGCCUCGUCGACGCGCAGUCGCCAGGUGAGGCAACGACGACGACGUGUUCGCCUCGUUACGCUCGGCCGGGGGGACGGUACGGUCAGUGCUGCACGGAACCUUGCGACUUUCAACGGCGCUCCGUCCGAGCGAGAGCAACCGUAAGACAGUGGGAGAAAGAGAGAGGGACGGAGAACACCAAAUAACUCCCGAACGCACACCGGGAAUCGAUUCUUACCUCCGGUUUUUCGGUUACUCCAGGUGUGCCAUCGGUCGGAUCGCUGCCGAUUCAUAACCUCAAACACGAACCUGCCGUGUCCGUCGUCGUUGGGAAAUGUGUUCACGCGUGGCACGGAUUAAUCAGUGAAUAAUCAUCAGUGAUAGCGGGGCAUAGGUGCCCCGGCGUCGAGACGUCGCGCGAGUGCGUCGCGCAAGGUGCGUGAAACAGAAGGCGGAAGAAGAAGAGAAGGCAGAGAGGGAGAGAG